rnacentral:rRNA from 1 species
CUACGGGGCGCACCAGUGGGGAAUAUUGGACAAUGGGCGCAAGCCUGAUCCAGCAAUGCCGCGUGAGUGAAGACGGCCUUAGGGUUGUAAAACUCUUUCGCUAGGGAAGAUAAUGACUGUACCUAGUAAAGAAGUCCCGGCUAACUCCGUGCCAGCAGCCGCGGUAAUACGGAGGGGACUAGCGUUGUUCGGAAUUACUGGGCGUAAAGAGUUCGUAGGCGGACUGACAAGUUAGAGGUGAAAUCCCAGGGCUCAACCCUGGAACUGCCUUUAAAACUGUCAGUCUAGAGACCGGAAGAGGUUAGGGGAAUACCUAGUGUAGAGGUGAAAUUCGUAGAUAUUAGGUGGAACACCAGUGGCGAAGGCGCCUAACUGGUCCGGUACUGACGCUGAGGAACGAAAGCGUGGGGAGCAAACAGGAUUAGAUACCCGUGUAGUC